rnacentral:rRNA from 1 species
AGAGUUUGAUCCUGGCUCAGGACGAACGCUGGCGGCGUGCCUAAUACAUGCAAGUAGAACGCUGAAGAGAGGAGCUUGCUCUUCUUGGAUGAGUUGCGAACGGGUGAGUAACGCGUAGGUAACCUGCCUUGUAGCGGGGGAUAACUAUUGGAAACGAUAGCUAAUACCGCAUAACAAUGGAUGACCCAUGUCAUUUAUUUGAAAGGGGCAAAUGCUCCACUACAAGAUGGACCUGCGUUGUAUUAGCUAGUAGGUGAGGUGACGGCUCACCUAGGCGACGAUACAUAGCCGACCUGAGAGGGUGAUCGGCCACACUGGGACUGAGACACGGCCCAGACUCCUACGGGAGGCAGCAGUAGGGAAUCUUCGGCAAUGGGGGCAACCCUGACCGAGCAACGCCGCGUGAGUGAAGAAGGUUUUCGGAUCGUAAAGCUCUGUUGUAAGUCAAGAACGAGUGUGAGAGUGGAAAGUUCACACUGUGACGGUAGCUUACCAGAAAGGGACGGCUAACUACGUGCCAGCAGCCGCGGUAAUACGUAGGUCCCGAGCGUUGUCCGGAUUUAUUGGGCGUAAAGCGAGCGCAGGCGGUUUGAUAAGUCUGAAGUUAAAGGCUGUGGCUCAACCAUAGUUCGCUUUGGAAACUGUCAAACUUGAGUGCAGAAGGGGAGAGUGGAAUUCCAUGUGUAGCGGUGAAAUGCGUAGAUAUAUGGAGGAACACCGGUGGCGAAAGCGGCUCUCUGGUCUGUAACUGACGCUGAGGCUCGAAAGCGUGGGGAGCGAACAGGAUUAGAUACCCUGGUAGUCCACGCCGUAAACGAUGAGUGCUUGGUGUUGGAUCCUCUCCGGGAUUCAGUGCCGCAGCUAACGCAUUAAGCACUCCGCCUGGGGAGUACGACCGCAAGGUUGAAACUCAAAGGAAUUGACGGGGGCCCGCACAAGCGGUGGAGCAUGUGGUUUAAUUCGAAGCAACGCGAAGAACCUUACCAGGUCUUGACAUCCCGAUGCUAUUUCUAGAGAUAGAAAGUUACUUCGGUACAUCGGUGACAGGUGGUGCAUGGUUGUCGUCAGCUCGUGUCGUGAGAUGUUGGGUUAAGUCCCGCAACGAGCGCAACCCCUAUUGCUAGUUGCCAUCAUUCAGUUGGGCACUCUAGCGAGACUGCCGGUAAUAAACCGGAGGAAGGUGGGGAUGACGUCAAAUCAUCAUGCCCCUUAUGACCUGGGCUACACACGUGCUACAAUGGUUGGUACAACGAGUUGCGAGUCGGUGACGGCAAGCUAAUCUCUUAAAACCAAUCUCAGUUCGGAUUGUAGGCUGCAACUCGCCUACAUGAAGUCGGAAUCGCUAGUAAUCGCGGAUCAGCACGCCGCGGUGAAUACGUUCCCGGGCCUUGUACACACCGCCCGUCACACCACGAGAGUUUGUAACACCCGAAGUCGGUGAGGUAACCUUUUGGAGCCAGCCGCCUAAGGUGGGAUAGAUGAUUGGGGUGAAGUCGUAACAAGGUA